UGGCUCAGCGGUUAGAGCACUGGCUGCUCGUCCAGAGGACCUGGGUUCAAUUCCCAG
rnacentral:tRNA from 1 species